UGGGGAAUAUUGCACAAUGGGCGCAAGCCUGAUGCAGCCAUGCCGCGUGUAUGAAGAAGGCCUUCGGGUUGUAAAGUACUUUCAGCGGGGAGGAAGGGAGUAAAGUUAAUACCUUUGCUCAUUGACGUUACCCGCAGAAGAAGCACCGGCUAACUCCGUGCCAGCAGCCGCGGUAAUACGGAGGGUGCAAGCGUUAAUCGGAAUUACUGGGCGUAAAGCGCACGCAGGCGGUUUGUUAAGUCAGAUGUGAAAUCCCCGGGCUCAACCUGGGAACUGCAUCUGAUACGGGCAAGCUUGAGUCUCGUAGAGGGGGGUAGAAUUCCAGGUGGAGCGGUGAAAUGCGUAGAGGUCUGGAGGAAGACCGGUGGCGAAGGCGGCCCCCUGGACGAAGACUGACGCUCAGGUGCGAAAGCGUGGGGAGCAAACAGG
rnacentral:rRNA from 1 species